GAAGAAGAAGAAGAAGAAGAAGAAGAAAUGUUUAGAUUUCAGGACGCAACAUCAGUAUUGAUAAGCGUGAUUCUAAGAAAAAGCAUAAGCAUAUUUCAUGAACUUGCCUUCAUAUUGCUAGACUUGCUAUCGAUUUUAUCGUCAGCUGUUGAAUAUUCAAGAUUUAACAAUCGCCACUCUCCUGCAGCUUUCACCAGAUUGAUAGAAGAGAUAUCUGAGGCUU
rnacentral:misc_RNA from 1 species